rnacentral:rRNA from 1 species
AAAGACCUCAUGCUUUUGGAGCGGCCGAUGUCUGAUUAGCUAGUUGGUAAGGUAAUGGCUUACCAAGGCAACGAUCAGUAGUUGGUCUGAGAGGACGACCAGCCACACUGGGACUGAGACACGGCCCAGACUCCUACGGGAGGCAGCAGUGGGGAAUUUUGGACAAUGGGCGCAAGCCUGAUCCAGCAAUGCCGCGUGAGUGAAGAAGGCCUUCGGGUUGUAAAGCUCUUUCAGUUGAGAAGAAAAAAUUCUGGCUAAUAUCCAGAAUUCAUGACGGUAUCGACAGAAGAAGCACCGGCUAACUACGUGCCAGCAGCCGCGGUAAUACGUAGGGUGCAAGCGUUAAUCGGAAUUACUGGGCGUAAAGGGUGCGCAGGUGGUUUUGUAAGUCAGAUGUGAAAUCCCCGGGCUUAACCUGGGAAUU